rnacentral:rRNA from 1 species
AUUGAACGCUGGCGGCAGGCUUAACACAUGCAAGUCGAGCGGAGAUGAGGUGCUUGCACCUUAUCUUAGCGGCGGACGGGUGAGUAAUGCUUAGGAAUCUGCCUAUUAGUGGGGGACAACAUUCCGAAAGGAAUGCUAAUACCGCAUACGCCCUACGGGGGAAAGCAGGGGAUCUUCGGACAUUGCGCUAAUAGAUGAGCCUAAGUCGGAUUAGCUAGUUGGUGGGGUAAAGGCCUACCAAGGCGACGAUCUGUAGCGGGUCUGAGAGGAUAAUCCGCCACACUGGGACUGAGACACGGCCCAGACUCCUACUGGAGGCAGCAGUGGGGAAUAUUGGACAAUGGGCGGAAGCCUGAUCCAGCCAUGCCGCGUGUGUGAAGAAGGCCUUUUGGUUGUAAAGCACUUUAAGCGAGGAGGAGGCUACCUGGAUUAAUACUCUAGGAUAGUGGACGUUACUCGCAGAAUAAGCACCGGCUAACUCUGUGCCAGCCGCCGCGGUAACAC